GAGCGCACACAAACAGUGCAGGGCUCCGGUGGGAAGCGCUGCCUGCACGAUAAGGCAGGCAAGGAAAACACAUCCAUCUUCAUGUCUCUUGGCCUGAGACGAAGUUUCAUCCGCUGUCAUUUUCCUGGCGCAGGCUCAGGGCACACCACAAUUCACCUGAGGAGUCAGACGCCGGGGAGCCAGCUCCCAUUCCUGGCGAGAGGUGUCAGCCCCGACUGGUGCAGAGUGCGAGGAGCUGGCAGAAAACCAUCUAGGAUGAAAAAGCAGUGCUUGUGUAUCCACAUCUGACCUGAAAGCUCCGUGUGGACCUGGGAGACUGAAACCCACCAUUGGCACAAAGCAAAAUCAGGACUAGCCAGCACUCAAAGGUGAAAAUUAAAGCAGGACACAAGGAACCCACUGACUGCAAUACAUUCAGUCGUGGAUGAUUCAUGGAGUAAUUCUGAGUAGCAAACACACUGGGCACAAAGAACAUCCAAAGAUGGAGCAGGUGACCAGGCCUGUACCAGGGAGACACUGAGCAGACAUGGACCCAGAGGCCCCAGAGACCAGCUGGGGUGCCAGGGCAGAGAUGAUUGCCAGGAAAUUGGUUUGAAGGUAAAGCUGGCGUCGUCCAGCCUGGCUGUUCGUUAUUUGAGGGCUCAUCAUCAUCUUCCCAUGGAUUCCUACUUCCCAACUAUGUCCACGCCUUGCAGAGGGUUCCUUGAUCUGCUGGUUUGUAUCUAGAGGGCUGCUGCAAAAGUUGUUGUGCUGGCCAGUGGCUUAGACCACAUCAUUCCUCCCCAUGCUCCUCCCUGGCACCCUCUUUUUUUUCUGCCCCAAUUGUGGACUCUUCAUCUUCCCCCUCCCAGCCCUUCAUUAUCCACCUCUCCUCCACCCAGCAUCUCCCAUGCAACAGAGACUGUCUCCAUCGCCCUUUCCCAACAAGCCCCUUCAUGCUCUCUCCUGCUUUGCCCCACACCUGGGAGAAGCAGUCUCUGAGCGCUUGCAAAGCCACCACCUCGCGCUCCUGGAAGCUGUUCUUUGUCACCCCAUCUGCAGAAGCCUUCACCGCAGGGGUGCUGUGCUGCGCUCGCCGCCCGCAGGCAGCGCCUCCCCGCUCCCCCCUGCUCCCGGCAUUCCUCCCCUCCUGCCCGACUGAGCACAGCUUCAUCCUUCUCCAUCGGCUCCGUGGCUCUGCAGCGCCCAGCAGGACACGGUCCUCCCCAGGGCUGGGAGCCCAGAGCCGAGCCGAGCCACGGCCGGGCCAGCAGCUGUGGCAGUGCCUCCCACGGGGCAGAAGCUAUCACAUCAGUACAAGUCCUUCCUCCUCCGGUGCCGCCCCUCCGCCGUUACCCGGGGCAGCUGACGGCCCCUCCGGUGCCCUCUCAUAACGGGCCGUUGAACACCGGCGGCACCUCAGCCCCCGGC